rnacentral:rRNA from 1 species
UACGUAGGGACCAAGCGUUGUUCGGAUUUACUGGGCGUAAAGGGUGCGUAGGCGGGUUUUUAAGUCAGGGGUGAAAUCCUGGAGCUCAACUCCAGAACUGCCUUUGAUACUGAAGAUCUUGAGUCCGGGAGAGGUGAGUGGAACUGCGAGUGUAGAGGUGAAAUUCGUAGAUAUUGGGAAGAACACCGGUGGCGAAGGCGGCGACCUGGUCCGAUACUGACGCUGAGGCGCGAAAGCGUGGGGAGCAAACAGG